GUCCCUGCAGCCAAGACCCUGCAGCCUAUCUUUGCAGCCGGGUCCUCGCAGCCGGGUCCUU
ensembl:miRNA mdo-mir-7356 mdo-mir-7356